rnacentral:rRNA from 1 species
ACUCCUACGGGAGGCAGCAGUGGGGAAUCUUGGACAAUGGGGGCAACCCUGAUCCAGCCAUGCCGCGUGAGUGAUGAAGGCCUUAGGGUCGUAAAGCUCUUUCGCCUGUUGAUGAUAAUGACAGUAGCAGGUAAAGAAACCCCGGCUAACUCCGUGCCAGCAGCCGCGGUAAUACGGAGGGGUUAGCGUUGUUCGGAAUUACUGGGCGUAAAGCGCGCGUAGGCGGAUUAGUCAGUUAGAGGUGAAAUCCCAGGGCUCAACCCUGGAACUGCCCUUUAAUACUGCUAGUCUUGAGUUUCGAGAGAGGUGAGUGGAAUUCCGAGUGUAGAGGUGAAAUUCGUAGAUAUUCGGAGGAACACCAGUGGCGAAGGCGGCUCACUGGCUCGAUACUGACGCUGAGGUGCGAAAGUGU